rnacentral:rRNA from 1 species
AUUGAACGCUGGCGGCAUGCUUUACACAUGCAAGUCGAACGGUAACAGGCCUUCGGGUGCUGACGAGUGGCGAACGGGUGAGUAAUGCAUCGGAACGUGCCCAGAGGUGGGGGAUAACGCAGCGAAAGCUGUGCUAAUACCGCAUGUGAUCUGAGGAUGAAAGCGGGGGACCAGGCAGCAAUGUUUGGCCUCGCGCCUUUGGAGCGGCCGAUGUCAGAUUAGGUAGUUGGUGGGGUAAAGGCCUACCAAGCCGACGAUCUGUAGCUGGUCUGAGAGGACGACAAGCCACACUGGGACUGAGACACGGCCCAGACUCCUACGGGAGGCAGCAGUGGGGAACUUUGGACAAUGGGCGCAAGCCUGAUCCAGCAAUGCCGCGUGCGGGAAGAAGGCCUUCGGGUUGUAAACCGCUUUUGUACGGAACGAAAAGGCUCUGGCUAAUACCUGGGGCUGAUGACGGUACCGGAAGAAUAAGCACCGGCUAACUACGUG